AUUGAACGCUGGCGGCAUGCCUUACACAUGCAAAUCGAACGGUAACGGGCCUUCGGGUGCCGACGAGUGGCGAACGGGUGAGUAAUACAUCGGAACGUGCCCGAUCGUGGGGGAUAACGAGGCGAAAGCUUUGCUAAUACCGCAUACGAUCUACGGAUGACAGCAGGGGACCGCAAGGCCUUGCGCGGACGGAGCGGCCGAUGGCAGAUUAGGUAGUUGGUGGGAUAAAAGCUUACCAAGCCGACGAUCUGUAGCUGGUCUGAGAGGAUGAUCAGCCACACUGGGACUGAGACACGGCCCAGACUCCUACGGGAGGCAGCAGUGGGGAAUUUUGGACAAUGGGCGCAAGCCUGAUCCAGCCAUGCCGCGUGCAGGAUGAAGGCCUUCGGGUUGUAAACUGAUUUUGUACGGAACGAAAAGCCUUCUUUUAAUACAGGAGGGUCAUGACGGUACCGUAAGAAUAAGCACCGGCUAACUACGUG
rnacentral:rRNA from 1 species